UGAGAAAUGCGUGUUACUUUCUAAAGGGGGGCCAAUAAGAUCUUAUUAGCCCUUCUCCUUUCUUGGAGUGAAAUUAUACUCAAAAAAUAAAAUAGCAACCGAGUCACUCAAAUUUGACUGAAUUUUGCACUCCUAUAGAGUGAAUUCUCUUCCAUGAAUCAUUAAGUGAAUAUUUUUAGUCGAAAUUUCGUUUUGGAGGUUAUACAAAGCGGAGCACGUUGCGAACGAGAACAGAGCAAAUAAUGGAUAGAAAAAGUUCAAGAGUCAAUCGAACACAUGCUGCGCGCAAAAUAAAACGAAUGUAUCACGGAAACCGACAUGAUAUAGAGCAAGAUACAGUAUAUACGAGUACUUCAGCCAAAAAAUUAAUGAACUCGAGAGACAUGGAUGUGAACAUUCAGCGAGAUUACAGUUACUAUAUUAUAAACUUUAUUGCGGUGUUUGCGGCUAUAAGUUUAUAUGUUUGUUGCAAAGAAUGCAAAAAAAUGUUACAUUUAAUGAAAAAGAUUACAGAAACGACUUCUAUCGUGUCCAUCAUUUGACUCUACUCGCGGUACAGGCCUAACUUCGGCGCCAUAUUUUAUUAUGUUAUGGGAACAACAUUAAAAUAUACAAUUUUUUUAAAUCUAU